UCCCGCCGCCCCGCAGAGAGCCCGAAGGAGAGCUCGGAGCCCUCGGGCUCGCCCGCGCCCGUCAUCCAGCCCGGCUCGGCCAACGGGCUGGGCGCCGCGCGCUCGGCCGCCGAGGCCGUGGCCACCUCGGUGCUGGCGCAGCUGGCCGGGCACAGGACAGAGCUGGCCGUGCCGGCCGCCUCGCCCGUCAUCGUGGCCCCACAGUCGCAGCCUGCGGGCAGAUGAUGGCCCCGGGAGCGCCCGCACGGACUGACCUCUCCUUCCCUUUCUGGGGUUUUGUUCUUGGUUUGGUUUUGUUUUGUUCUCAGUUAAGGGCAGCUCUGGCGCUCUCCCACCGCCCGCGGGGCUCGGGGGCCCCGGCAGAGCCCCCGGGAAGGGCGGAUUCGGGGAUCCGUGUGGCUAACACUAAAGUGGCCUGUCCCUGGCAGGAGGCUGUGGCACUCCUGCAGGAGGCUGUGGCACUCCUGUCCCUGGCAGGAGGCUGUGACACUUCUGGAGGAGGCUGUGACACUCCUGAUGUCCCCCUGGCAGGACACAGUGACACUCCUGAUGUCCCCGGGCAGGACACUGUGGCACUCCUGCAGGACGCUGUGGCACUCCUGCUGUCCCCGUGCUGCUCCCAGGCCCGUCCCCACUCCCCGUUGCACCUUCACCCCUCCCGGAGCUCCUCCCUGCCCCAGCCCCAGCCGUGGAUUUUGGGAGGCAGAACUGCUCCGGGUUUGCACCCCGGCGCCUGGGACAAGGAGACAGCGCGGGGCUGGGGAGUCCCGGCAGUCCCGGGCAAGCCCAUCCCAACUCCGGGAUCAGCUCCGGCUCACGGACCUCGCUGACCUCGGCACUGGUGGCCUUAAAUCCCGGAUUGUUCUGUCGAGGGGAGGGAGCAGACAAAGGAUUCAGCCCCGAGCCUGGGCGGGGCCGGAUCCCUCCCUGCGCGGUGAGGAGCUGGGAUCGGGUCCCCUGUCCUGCCGGGGGGACGCUGGGCCCUGUCCCCUGUGUCCCUGUGGGGAUGGGCAGGGCUGCCGUGGUUUUGGGAUGUGCAAGGAAUGUUGUCCCGGUCCGUGGAACUGCUCCAG
rnacentral:lncRNA from 1 species